rnacentral:lncRNA from 1 species
UAGAAUGAAAUUCAAAACAGUGUGGCUGUGGCCAUUGAUUGACACAUUAAAUUCAUCCAUUGACUGGGAAAAUUUACGUGAACGUUUGUCUGUAACGACCACUGUUCACGACGUACCUACGAUAGAUAUUUAAACUGUGGGGUCACCAAAGGUUUCUUAACGUCUUUAAUUAUAAAAUAAUUCGAAAAAUUAAUCAGGAAUAAUCUUUAUGUUUUGAUUUAUAUAAUUGAUAUAAAUCAAAACAUCGUGUUAUUUCUGAUUAAUUUUUCGAAUUACUUUAUUAAGGCGUUGAGAACCUUUGGUGACCCCAUAGUUUAAGUGUCUUUAAAAAGUACAUAGUGAGCAGUGAUCGUUACAUACAAACGUUCACCUAAAUUGUCCCAGUCAAUGGAUGAAUUUAAUGUGUCAAUCAAUGGCCACAGCCACACUGUUUUGAAUUUCAUAG